AUGGACAUGAGGGUCCCCACUCAGCUCCUGGGGUUCCUGCUGCUCUGGCUCCCAGGGGUCAGGUGUGACAUCCAGAUGACCCAGUCUCCAUCCUCCCUGUCUGCAUCUGUAGGAGACAGAGUCACCAUCACUUGCCGGGCAAGUCAGAGCAUUAGCAAUGAUUUAACCUGGUAUCAGCAGAAACCAGGGAAAGCCCCUACGCUCCUGAUCUAUGAUGCAACCAACCUGCACACCGGGGUCCCAUCGCGGUUCAGUGGCGGUGGAUCUGGGGCAGAUUAUUCUCUCACCAUCAGCAGCCUGCAGCUGGAAGAUUUUGCAACUUAUUACUGUCAACAGGAAUACAGUUACCCUCCCACGCUGUUACAAGCCAGAACAAAAACCCCUUAG